GGAGCCGGACGGCCAGUCGCUUGCCGACUUGAGCGGCAAGAGGAAAGUCCGGGCAACACAGGGCACCAUGGUUCCUAACCGAAACCUGUCGGCGACGGCAGAGCAGCGUGACAGAAAACUACCGCCACGCGUCAUGCGGGGUAAGGGUGAAAAGGUGGGGUAAGAGCCCACCGGAUCGGUGCGUGAGCAUCGGUGCCGCACGUCUCAUGGGUUGCAAGGUCAAGUAUACCGGCAUUUAAGGACGGCCCGUCCAUUGUCGGGGGGUAGACUGCUCGAGCCACGUGGCAACACGCGGCGUAGAUAAAUGACUGGCCGUAUGGCCUCGUGCCAUGCGACAUAACCCGGCUUACAGUCCGGCUCCAUUU
rnacentral:RNase_P_RNA from 1 species